rnacentral:tRNA from 1 species
GUCCUCGUGGUGGAGGGGAGAACACGCCUGGUUGCGGACCAGGAGAGCGCAGGUUCGAAUCCUGCCGGGGACA